rnacentral:misc_RNA from 1 species
AAUCGUAACAAGGUUUCCGAAGGUGAACCUGCGGAAGGACGCGUGUCCAAACAAACAACCCUGUGGACUUCAGCGUGUUCUUGCAGGCACCAAAAUAUCAAUCCCGAGUAAAUCAAAUUCCAGAUUUUGAUUUUGGAAGUUCUGUGUUUGCAAUUGAGCAGAUAAAGCACCAUCCCCUGCGGCAAAGGAUCAAUGUUCAGGGUGGCGCAGUCAAUGAUCGCUGUAGCGGCGACCGGGGCAGAGGCGAAAGCCCUACGUCACCCUUAUGUACCCUCCGAGACUUGGCGAGGGCUGAAUCCAUAAAUCGAACAACUGUUAACAAUGGAUAUCUUGGUUCUC